UACGGAGGGUGCAAGCGUUAUCCGGAUUCACUGGGUUUAAAGGGUGCGUAGGAGGGCAGGUAAGUCAGUGGUGAAAUCCCCGAGCUUAACUUGGGAACUGCCGUUGAUACUAUCUGUCUUGAAUAUCGUGGAGGUGAGCGGAAUAUGUCAUGUAGCGGUGAAAUGCUUAGAUAUGACAUAGAACACCAAUUGCGAAGGCAGCUCGCUACACGAAUAUUGACUCUGAGGCACGAAAGCGUGGGGAUCAAACAGG
rnacentral:rRNA from 1 species